CACACACACACACACACAUAUCAAACUCCCCCUCUUUAUUCUUUCUCUUUGUCAUCACCACUUCUUCUCUUUUACCCGUCAAUGUUUUCUUCUUUUUUCUGCUCUCUCUUUCGCAUCUUCAAUUUUUUUUCCUGAUUUGUUAUACUGUGUUUUGUGUUUUGCAGAUCCAUUCAAAGUUGUUCAUCUUCAUCAAUAAAAUAAUAAAGAACAAGAAUAGGUAAAAAUAUAGAACUCCAGUAGUUAUUCUUAUUUGUAUAGAUUUGUCUUCACCAUUUUUGUAGUGAUUUGUUAUACCGUGUUUUGUGUUUUCCAGAUCUAUUAAAAGUUGUUCAUCUUCAUCAAGAAAAAAAAUAAAGGACAAGAGUAGGUAAAAUUAUAUAACUCCAAUAGUUAUCCUUAUUUGUAUAGAUUUGUCUUCACCAUUUUAUUUUUUGAUGUUUCCUUUUUCCUUGCUUUGAUUUCAACUAUAACAAAAUUUUCCUCUAAAAAAAUAUGUUGAGAUAAAGGGAAAGAGAAGAAGGAUAUGGGUGGUGGUGAAGUUAGGACUUGAAGUUGAAGAUAUCCUUCAUUUAAAAAUAUAUUACAUUCAAUUUUUAAUUUUAUCCAACUAUUUGUUUUGAUUUUUCAUGAUUUUAUUGUAGUUGAGUAUGAAUAUAUAAUGAGACAAGGGAAAAUCGGUGACGGUGAAUAAGAAAGAGCCACGUAAUGAUUUGGUGGCAGAUUAUAGAAUUCUUGAUUUUGCAAAGAGAUAUGCUUAUGAACAAAAUCUUGGAAAGAGAUAUACACUUGUGCAAAAGAAAUUUUGAAACAAAUAAUAAUGGAGAUUGCAGCGAAAGAUCCAAUGAGAAAAAA
rnacentral:lncRNA from 1 species